AGGGAAUCUUGCGCAAUGGGCGAAAGCCUGACGCAGCAACGCCGCGUGGGGGAUGAAGGCCUUCGGGUUGUAAACCCCUUUCAGGAGGGAAGAAAAUGACGGUACCUCCAGAAGAAGCCCCGGCCAACUACGUGCCAGCAGCCGCGGUAAUACGUAGGGGGCGAGCGUUGUCCGGAAUUAUUGGGCGUAAAGAGCUCGUAGGCGGCUCAGCAAGUCGGCUGUGAAAUCCCGAGGCUCAACCUCGGAACUGCAGUCGAUACUGCUGUGGCUAGAGUCUGGUAGAGGAGAGUGGAAUUCCCGGUGUAGCGGUGAAAUGCGCAGAUAUCGGGAGGAACACCAGUAGCGAAGGCGGCUCUCUGGGCCAGCACUGACGCUGAGGAGCGAAAGCGUGGGGAGCAAAC
rnacentral:rRNA from 1 species